UCCUCACCUGUGAUUUCUAAUUAUGUUGUUUACCUGCUGCAAAUGAGCACUUAAAGACUAUUUAAUGCACACUCACAGUCAUUGUUUGAGACGUUUUGGAAUGACGAAUACGGUUACCAGUCCAGGGUGUACACUGCCUCUCAAAAUGGAAAGUCAUCUAUCCCCAUUCCUGGAUGAAUCUCGCGUGAAAGGGAAAGCGGAGGAGCUGCAAUGUGCGCAAACAACCACCAGGGUUCGCACACCGUGGGAAGAAUUCUACACAACGCAGAGCUGCUAUGAUGUUGCCACGACCCAAAUGAGAGUGACAAUGUUUCUGUGCACUAAAUUACUCUGAUUUCUCAAAUACUUUGUUUAUUUUUUGUAUUUUCACACCUACAUG